rnacentral:rRNA from 1 species
AUGUCGCUGGCGGGUCGACGCGUUCUGGUGCGGGCGGUGCUCUCUGCGCUGCCAACCUUCGCCAUGACCGUGCUCAAGGUGCCAAAGAAGAUCCUCAAGGAGAUUGACAAGGCACGGCGUCGGUUCUUAUGGGUCCAAGAUGAGGCACUGACGGGCGGGAAGUGCAAACUGGCGUGGAAGCAGGUGUGC